GACGAACGCUGGCGGCGUGCUUAACACAUGCAAGUCGAACGGAAAGGCCCUGCUUUUGUGGGGUGCUCGAGUGGCGAACGGGUGAGUAACACGUGAGUAACCUGCCCUUGACUUUGGGAUAACUUCAGGAAACUGGGGCUAAUACCGGAUAGGAGCUCCUGCUGCAUGGUGGGGGUUGGAAAGUUUCGGCGGUUGGGGAUGGACUCGCGGCUUAUCAGCUUGUUGGUGGGGUAGUGGCUUACCAAGGCUUUGACGGGUAGCCGGCCUGAGAGGGUGACCGGCCACAUUGGGACUGAGAUACGGCCCAGACACCUACGGGAGGCAGCAGUGGGGAAUAGUGCACAAUGGGCGGAAGCCUGAUGCAGCAACGCCGCGUGCGGGAUGACGGCCUUCGGGUUGUAAACCGCUUUCGCCUGUGACGAAGCGUGAGUGACGGUAAUGGGUAAAGAAGCACCGGCUAACUACGUG
rnacentral:rRNA from 1 species